CACGUAGGGGGCGAGCGUUGUCCGGAUUUAUUGGGCGUAAAGAGCUCGUAGGCGGCUCAGUAAGUCAGGUGUGAAAACUCCAGGCUCAACCUGGAGACGCCACUUGAUACUGCUGUGGCUAGAGUCCGGUAGGGGAGCAUGGAAUUCCUGGUGUAGCGGUGAAAUGCGCAGAUAUCAGGAGGAACACCAGUGGCGGAAGGCGGUGCUCUGGGCCGGAACUGACGC
rnacentral:rRNA from 1 species